AUGACUUGAUUUGAUCAUGUUGAUUUCACCACUCGAGAUAUUGGACCAAUCAUAAUGUUGGAUUGUGUCAUCUGAUCAAUUCGAAUUGUACCUCAUUGAUUUCUCUCUCCUCUAAUUUUCUCUCUCUACUUGAUUUUAUGAAAUUGAUGAAGAAACUUCGGUCCUAUCACUUCGAAUCUGAUUUGAUCUGAUAGUCAAACCUU
rnacentral:lncRNA from 1 species